rnacentral:rRNA from 1 species
GACAGAGGGGGCAAGCGUUGCUCGGAAUUACUGGGCGUAAAGGGCGUGUAGGCGGGAUGGCAAGUCGGUCGUGAAAUCCCUCAGCUUAACUCCGAAACUGCAUUCGAUACUGCGGUGCUUGAGGACUGGAGAGGAGACUGGAAUUCAUGGUGUAGCAGUGAAAUGCGUAGAGAUCAUGAGGAAGACCAGUGGCGAAGGCGGGUCUCUGGACAGUUCCUGACACUGAGGCACGGAGGCCAGGGGAGCAAACGGG